GCAGUCGAACGAUCCGCUUCGGUGGAUAGUGGCGCACGGGUGCGUAACACGUAGCUUACCCGCCUCAAAGAGGGGGAUAACUCCGCGAAAGUGGAGCUAAUACCCCAUAAGCUCCCGCGCUGUAGAGGCGUGAGAGAAAAGGAAUCCGCUUUGAGAGGGGGCUGCGGCUCAUCAGGUAGAUGGUGGGGUAACGGCUCACCAUGCCGGCGACGAGUAGGGGGUCUGAGAGGAUGAUCCCCCACACUGGGACUGAGACACGGCCCAGACUCCUACGGGAGGCAGCAGUGAGGAAUAUUGCACAAUGGGGGCAACCCUGAUGCAGCGACGCCGCGUGGGUGAUGAAGGGCUUCGGCUCGUAAAACCCUUUUCUGCGUGACGAGAGAGGACGGUAGCGCAGGAAUAAGCCUCGGCUAACUACGUGCCAGCAGCCGCGGUAAAACGUAGGAGGCAAGCGUUAUCCGGAGUUACUGGGCGUAAAGCGCAUGUAGGCGGUCAGUUAAGUUGCGUGUGAAAGCGCUCGGCUCAACCGGGCAAUCGCAGGCAAGACUGGGUGACUAGAGGACGAUAGAGGAGCGCA
rnacentral:rRNA from 1 species